rnacentral:rRNA from 1 species
UAGGGAAUCUUCCGCAAUGGACGAAAGUCUGACGGAGCAACGCCGCGUGAACGAUGAAGGCCUUCGGGUCGUAAAGUUCUGUUGUUAGGGAAGAACAAGUGCUAGUUAAAUAAGCUGGCACCUUGACGGUACCUAACCAGAAAGCCACGGCUAACUACGUGCCAGCAGCCGCGGUAAUACGUAGGUGGCAAGCGUUGUCCGGAAUUAUUGGGCGUAAAGCGCGCGCAGGCGGUUUCUUAAGUCUGAUGUGAAAGCCCCCGGCUCAACCGGGGAGGGUCAUUGGAAACUGGGAAACUUGAGUGCAGAAGAGGAAAGUGGAAUUCCAAGUGUAGCGGUGAAAUGCGUAGAGAUUUGGAGGAACACCAGUGGCGAAGGCGACUUUCUGGUCUGUAACUGACACUGAGGCGCGAAAGCGUGGGGAGCAAACA